rnacentral:sRNA from 12 species
GUUUAGCCCUGAUUGAAGUGGAAAUCCUUUUUUUGAGUGAUAACUCAAAAAAAGAUUGCAACGAAAAGCAGGAAAAUGG